AAAAAUGUGCGGAAAAGGACGAGUACCCGCCCCCGAUACGCGAAGAGAGCCGCCGUUUGGUGCGAGGCGGACGGGAGGGAGCGGCGAAGAUCACCUUGGAGCAGGGGGCUGAACUUGCAGUAAGCCUCCCCGUCCGGCCCCCGUUACCGGGCCUGCCUUGAGUGGCCGGGAUUUUGUGCCCCGGCAAGAAGAGUGGUACCGCAGAGGUUUUCGCCUUUGUCUCUUUA
rnacentral:ncRNA from 1 species